UACGAGGGGUGCAAGCGUUGUUCGGAAUUAUUGGGCGUAAAGAGCUCGUAGGCGGUUCGUCGCGUCGGCUGUGAAAACCUGAGGCUCAACCUCAGGCCUGCAGUCGAUACGGGCGGACUUGAGUACUGCAGGGGAGACUGGAAUUCCUGGUGUAGCGGUGAAAUGCGCAGAUAUCAGGAGGAACACCGGUGGCGAAGGCGGGUCUCUGGGCAGUAACUGACGCUGAGGAGCGAAAGCGUGGGGAGCGAACAGG
rnacentral:rRNA from 1 species